rnacentral:rRNA from 2 species
AGAGUUUGAUCAUGGCUCAGAUUGAACGCUGGCGGCAGGCCUAACACAUGCAAGUCGAACGGUAACAGGAAGAAGCUUGCUUCUUUGCUGACGAGUGGCGGACGGGUGAGUAAUGUCUGGGAAGCUGCCUGAUGGAGGGGGAUAACUACUGGAAACGGUAGCUAAUACCGCAUAACGUCGCAAGACCAAAGAGGGGGACCUUCGGGCCUCUUGCCAUCGGAUGUGCCCAGAUGGGAUUAGCUUGUUGGUGGGGUAACGGCUCACCAAGGCGACGAUCCCUAGCUGGUCUGAGAGGAUGACCAGCCACACUGGAACUGAGACACGGUCCAGACUCCUACGGGAGGCAGCAGUGGGGAAUAUUGCACAAUGGGCGCAAGCCUGAUGCAGCCAUGCCGCGUGUAUGAAGAAGGCCUUCGGGUUGUAAAGUACUUUCAGCGGGGAGGAAGGGAGUAAAGUUAAUACCUUUGCUCAUUGACGUUACCCGCAGAAGAAGCACCGGCUAACUCCGUGCCAGCAGCCGCGGUAAUACGGAGGGUGCAAGCGUUAAUCGGAAUUACUGGGCGUAAAGCGCACGCAGGCGGUUUGUUAAGUCAGAUGUGAAAUCCCCGGGCUCAACCUGGGAACUGCAUCUGAUACUGGCAAGCUUGAGUCUCGUAGAGGGGGGUAGAAUUCCAGGUGUAGCGGUGAAAUGCGUAGAGAUCUGGAGGAAUACCGGUGGCGAAGGCGGCCCCCUGGACGAAGACUGACGCUCAGGUGCGAAAGCGUGGGGAGCAAACAGGAUUAGAUACCCUGGUAGUCCACGCCGUAAACGAUGUCGACUUGGAGGUUGUGCCCUUGAGGCGUGGCUUCCGGAGCUAACGCGUUAAGUCGACCGCCUGGGGAGUACGGCCGCAAGGUUAAAACUCAAAUGAAUUGACGGGGGCCCGCACAAGCGGUGGAGCAUGUGGUUUAAUUCGAUGCAACGCGAAGAACCUUACCUGGUCUUGACAUCCACAGAACUUUCCAGAGAUGGAUUGGUGCCUUCGGGAACUGUGAGACAGGUGCUGCAUGGCUGUCGUCAGCUCGUGUUGUGAAAUGUUGGGUUAAGUCCCGCAACGAGCGCAACCCUUAUCCUUUGUUGCCAGCGGUCCGGCCGGGAACUCAAAGGAGACUGCCAGUGAUAAACUGGAGGAAGGUGGGGAUGACGUCAAGUCAUCAUGGCCCUUACGACCAGGGCUACACACGUGCUACAAUGGCGCAUACAAAGAGAAGCGACCUCGCGAGAGCAAGCGGACCUCAUAAAGUGCGUCGUAGUCCGGAUUGGAGUCUGCAACUCGACUCCAUGAAGUCGGAAUCGCUAGUAAUCGUGGAUCAGAAUGCCACGGUGAAUACGUUCCCGGGCCUUGUACACACCGCCCGUCACACCAUGGGAGUGGGUUGCAAAAGAAGUAGGUAGCUUAACCUUCGGGAGGGCGCUUACCACUUUGUGAUUCAUGACUGGGGUGAAGUCGUAACAAGGUAACCGUAGGGGAACCUGCGGUUGGAUCACCU